rnacentral:rRNA from 1 species
CCCUUAGAUGUUCUGGGCCGCACGCGCGCUACACUGACGAUGGCAACGAGUUUUUCCUUCGCCGAAAGGUGUGGGUAAUCUUUUGAAACAUCGUCGUGCUGGGGAUAGAACAUUGCAAUUUUUGAUCUUGAACGAGGAAUUCCUAGUAAGCGCGAGUCAUCAGCUCGCGUUGAUUACGUCCCUGCCCUUUGUACACACCGCCCGUCGCUACUACCGAUUGAAUGGUUUAGUGAGGACUCCUGAUUGGCGCCGCCGCCCCGGCAACGGAGCAGCGGACUGCCGAAAAGUUGUUCAAACUUGAUCAUUUAGAGGAAGUAAAAGUCGUAACA